rnacentral:rRNA from 1 species
AUUGAACGCUGGCGGCAUGCCUUACACAUGCAAGUCGAACGGCAGCACGGGUGCUUGCACCUGGUGGCGAGUGGCGAACGGGUGAGUAAUACAUCGGAACGUACCUUAUCGUGGGGGAUAACGCAGCGAAAGCUGUGCUAAUACCGCAUACGCCCUGAGGGGGAAAGCGGGGGAUCGCAAGACCUCGCGCGAUUAGAGCGGCCGAUGCCUGAUUAGCUUGUUGGUGGGGUAAAAGCCCACCAAGGCGACGAUCAGUAGCUGGUCUGAGAGGACGAUCACCCACACUGGGACGAAGACACGGCCCAGACUCCUACGGGAGGCAGCAGUGGGGAAUUUUGGACCAUGGGGGCAACCCUGAUCCAGCAAUGCCGCGUGAGUGAAGAAGGCCUUCGGGUUGUAAAGCUCUUUUGUCAGGGAAGAAACACCGGCUCUAACACAGUCCGGGAAUGACGGUACCUGAAGAAUAAGCACCGGCUAACUACGUGCCAGCAGCCGCCGUAA